CCUACGGGUGGCAGCAGUAGGGAAUAUUGCGCAAUGGGCGCAAGCCUGACGCAGCAACGCCGCGUGAAGGAUGAAGGUUUUCGGAUUGUAAACUCCUUUUGUUAGAGAAGAAAAUGACGUCAUCUAACGAAUAAGAACCUGCUAACAACGAGCCAGCAGCCGCGGUAAUACGAAGGGUGCAAGCGUUAUUCGGAAUUACUGGGCGUAAAGAGGGCGGAGGCGGGAUGGCAAGUCAGAUGUGAAAGCCCAUGGAUUAACCAUAGAACUGCAUUUGAAACUGUUAUUCUAGAGUAUGGGAGAGGAAGGUGGAAUUCUAGGUGUAGCGGUAAAAUGCGUAGAGAUAAGGAGGAACACUCAUUGCGAAGGCGACCUGCUGGAACAUAACUGACGCUGAUGCGCGAAAGCGUGGGGAGCAAACAGGAUUAGAUACCCCAGUAGUC
rnacentral:rRNA from 1 species